rnacentral:lncRNA from 1 species
GUAACUACAGAAAUAAAAAGUGACACGUGGAUGUGUUCAUGAAAAUUUGAUAUGUGAGAUUUUGCCCACAUGAUGCUUCAUGCUGCGUUUUGCUCAGGCACCUAUAUUGAUGAAAUGGCAAAGAUGUUCUCUUUGAUUGUUUUCUUCUUGCUUCUGAAGCUUUCCUUUCUUUUUUGCAGUUUGAGUGACCCCAGGUGCUUUUGGAGAAUAAAAGACAGAGAAAAUUAUCUAGGAGAUAAGGAGGCUGAUUGUUUCUUUUCCAUUUAUACAAAGCGUGGUUAUGUGAAGAAUGAUUACUUCAGUGAGAAUCUAGACAAGAAGGUGACACGUAAGACCAUCCACUUGAUUUCCUCUCUUUAUUUUGCCAUUGAAGAAAUCAAUAGGAAUAUUCAUAUUUUACCCAACAUUUCCCUAUUAGUUAAGAUCGAAUGUAACUUAAUUGUGGAUAAUGAGGAAAGAGUUUGGUCCAUGAAAAGAAAGGAAAUUAUUCCUAAUUUCUACUGUAAAAAUCAGAGAAGAUAUUUAAUUGUACUUACGGGACCUCUAUGGAUAACAUCUUACAGACUUGGGCCAUUGCUAUACUUCUCCAGAACUCCAGAGCUUUACUCUGGUUAUUUUCAUCUCAUAAGUGACCAGGAACAGUUUCCUCAUCUCUACCAGAUGACUCCCAAAGACACAUCUCUACCACUAGCCAUGGUGUCCAUAGCAGUUCACUUCAGAUGGAACUGGGUAGGAGUCAUCAUUACAGAUGAUGACCAUGGAAUUCAAUUCCUUGCUGAAUUGAGAGAAGUAAUGAAAAGAAACACUGUCUGCAUAGCAUUUGUUACUACUAUCACUUAUAAUCGGAUAUUAUACUUAAAAAUGAUUCAUAAAUAUUAUCACCAAAUCAUAAUGUCAUCAGCAAAAGCUGUGAUUGUCUAUGGGGAUAAAGAAUCUCCUGUACAAUUUAAUUUUAUUCUAUGGAAAUCUAAAGACAUUCAAAGACUCUGGGUCAGUGUGUCACAAUUUGAUAUGAUCACAAUGACAGGAAAUUUCAUGCUUAACUCCUUGCAUGGGACUCUUAUUUUUUCACACCAACAGUCUGAGAUGUCCGGUUUUAAACAAUUUAUUCAAACAGUGCACCCUUCUAAUUACAGUAAUGACAUUUCUUUUGCUAAACUGUGGUGGACUUACUUUAAGUGUUCUUUGACACCACCUGAUUGUAAAACACUGAAGAAUUGUCCAACCAAAACUUUAUUUCAAUGGUUUUUUGUGCCAUCCCUUGGAAUGUCUAUGAGUGAAACAUGUUACAACUUAUACAAUUCUGUGUAUGCUGUUGCCCACUCACUUCAUGAGAUGCUUCUACAAUAUGUAGACACACGCUCAGAGAAUGAUGGAAAGGUACUGGAAUUUAACUCCUGGAAGACCAUACAGUUUGUAAAUCCUGCUGGAGACCUAGUGAACAUGAACGAGAAAAAAAAAACUGGAUACAGAGUAUGACAUUUUCUACAUCAUGGAUUUACUAAAAAACUAUGGAAUUAAAAUGAAAAUAGGACGAUUUUCUGGUCACUUUCCAAACGGUCAACAACUGUUUAUGUCUGAUGAUAUAAUAGAGUGGGCUACAGAUAUCAAUCAGAAUUCAGCCUCCAUAUGUAGUGUGCCUUGCAGACCAGGACUCAGAAAAUACUUUCAGGAGGGAAAGGCUGUUUGCUGUUUUGAUUGUUACCGCUGCCCAGAAAAUGAAAUUUCAAACAUGACAGACAUGGAACAAUGCAUGAAGUGCCCAGUAGAUGAAUAUGCAAACACUGAUCAAACUAACUGCUUCAAAAAAGUUGUGUCCUUUCUGGAUUAUGAAGAACCCUUGGGAAUGACUCUGGCUGUCUUGGCUGUGUUCUUUUCUUCUCUUACAGUUAUUAUACUCUGUAUCUUCUUGAAACACCGAGACACUCCCAUAGUCAAGGCCAAUAAUGAAACUCUCAGCUAUGUCCUACUCACCUCCCUCAUAUUUUGUUUUAUUUGUUCAUUGCUCUACAUUGGUUAUCCCACUAUGGUUAGCUGCAUCCUGCAACAGACCACAUUUGCCAUUGUGUUCACUGUGGCUGCCUCUUGUGUCUUAGCCAAGACAAUUACUGUAGUCCUAGCAUUUAAGAUCACUGUUCCAGGAAGAAGACUGAGGUGGCUGCUACUUUCCGGAGCACCUAAUUACAUCAUUCCCAUAUGCACCACAAUACAAAUGAUUCUCUGUGGAAUCUGGCUGGGAACUUCUCCUCCAUUUGUUGAUGUGGAUCUACACAUGAUACAUGGACACAUCAUCAUUGUUUGCAACAAAGGUUCAGUGAUUGCUUUUUACUGUGUCCUGGGUUACAUGGGCUCUCUUGCUCUAUCAAGUUUCACUGUAGCUUUCCUGGCCAGGAAUCUGCCUGACACAUUCAAUGAAGCCAAGCUCCUGACAUUCAGCAUGCUGGUGUUCUGCAGUGUCUGGAUCACCUUCCUCCCUGUUUAUCACAGUACUAAGGGAAAGACUAUGGUUGCUGUGGAGGUCUUCUGUAUCUUGGCCUCCAGUGCAGGGAUGCUUAUUUGCAUAUUUCUCCCAAAGUGCUACAUUAUUCUGUUGAGACCACAAAUAAAUUCU